GACGAACGCUGGCGGCGUGCUUAACACAUGCAAGUCGAACGGUAAGGCUCCAGCUUGCUGGGGUACACGAGUGGCGAACGGGUGAGUAACACGUGGGUGACCUGCCCUGCACUUCGGGAUAAGCCUGGGAAACUGGGUCUAAUACCGGAUAGGACCGCACCGUGAGGGUGUGGUGGAAAGUUUUUUCGGUGUGGGAUGGGCCCGCGGCCUAUCAGCUUGUUGGUGGGGUAAUGGCCUACCAAGGCGGCGACGGGUAGCCGGCCUGAGAGGGUGGACGGCCACAUUGGGACUGAGACACGGCCCAGACUCCUACGGGAGGCAGCAGUGGGGAAUAUUGCACAAUGGGCGGAAGCCUGAUGCAGCGACGCCGCGUGGGGGAUGACGGCCUUCGGGUUGUAAACUCCUUUCACCAUCGACGAAGGGUUUCUGACGGUAGAUGGAGAAGAAGCACCGGCUAACUACGUGCCAGCAGCCGCGGUAAUACGUAGGGUGCGAGCGUUGUCCGGAAUUACUGGGCGUAAAGAGCUCGUAAGUGGUUUGUCGCGUCGUCUGUGAAAUUCCGGGGCUUAACUCCGGGCGUGCAGGGCGAUACGGGCAUAACUUGAGUACUGUAGGGGAGACUGGAAUUCCCGGUGUAGCGGUGGAAUGCGCACAUAUCAGGAGGGAACACCGGUGGCGAAGGCGGGUCUCUGGGCAGUAACUGACGCUGAGGAACGAAACAUGGGGAGCGACAGGAUUUAUACCCUUGUGUUCCAACGGCGAAUUCCCCCGCGGUAUCAAGCGUAUCGCAUACCGUCGACCUCGGGGAGUGUUCUCUGUUAUCCACUUAUGUUCCCCUAGUGAGGUUUAUAUACC
rnacentral:rRNA from 1 species